rnacentral:rRNA from 1 species
UACGGAGGGGGCUAGCGUUGUUCGGAAUUACUGGGCGUAAAGCGUGCGUAGGCGGUGUCUUAAGUUUGUUGUGAAAUCUCCCGGCUUAACCGGGAGGGUGCGGCGAAUACUGAGAUGCUGGAGUGCCGGAGAGGGUAAGCGGAAUUCCUAGUGUAAGCGGUGAAAUGCGUAGAUAUCAGGAGGAACACCUGCGGUGUAGACGGCUUACUGGACGGUAACUGGACGCUGAGGCACGAAAGCGUGGGUAGCAGACAGG